rnacentral:rRNA from 1 species
GACGGAGGGUGCUAGCGUUGUUCGGAAUGACUGGGCGUAAAGGGCGCGUAGGCGGCUCGUGAAGUCGGGUGUGAAAGCCCGGGGCUCAACCCCGGAACGGCAUCCGAUACUGGCGGGCUUGAGACCGGGAGAGGAGGGUGGAAUACCCAGUGUAGAGGUGAGAUUCGUAGAUAUUGGGUGGAACACCGGUGGCGAAAGCGGCUCUCUGGCCCGGAUCUGACGCUGAGGCGCGAAAGCGUGGGGAGCAAACAGG